AUAGAGAGAAGUUACUCUCUGUUCCCCAACCCCUCUAUCAGAUCAAGAUCCGAAAAAACUUGGCGCUACCCCCGCCAAGUUUUU
rfam:Bacillus amyloliquefaciens FZB42, complete genome.